CCUACGGGAGGCAGCAGUGGGGAAUAUUGCACAAUGGGGGAAACCCUGAUGCAGCCAUGCCGCGUGUGUGAAGAAGGCCUUCGGGUUGUAAAGCACUUUCAGUUGUGAGGAAAAGUUAGUAGUUAAUACCUGCUAGCCGUGACGUUAACAACAGAAGAAGCACCGGCUAACUCCGUGCCAGCAGCCGCGGUAAUACGGAGGGUGCGAGCGUUAAUCGGAAUUACUGGGCGUAAAGCGCACGCAGGCGGUUUGUUAAGCUAGAUGUGAAAGCCCCGGGCUCAACCUGGGAUGGUCAUUUAGAACUGGCAGACUAGAGUCUUGGAGAGGGGAGUGGAAUUCCAGGUGUAGCGGUGAAAUGCGUAGAUAUCUGGAGGAACAUCAGUGGCGAAGGCGACUCCCUGGCCAAAGACUGACGCUCAUGUGCGAAAGUGUGGGUAGCGAACAGGAUUAGAUACCCUGGUAGUCCACACCGUAAACGCUGUCUACUAGCUGUGUGUGUCUUUAAGACGUGCGUAGCGAAGCUAACGCGCUAAGUAGACCGCCUGGGGAGUACGGCCGCAAGGUUAAAACUCAAAUGAAUUGACGGA
rnacentral:rRNA from 1 species